GAUGAACGCUAGCGGGAGGCUUAACACAUGCAAGUCGAGGGGCAGCAUAGGGUAGCAAUACUCUGAUGGCGACCGGCAAACGGGUGAGUAACGCGUAUGCAACCUACCCUGUACAGGGGGAUAACCCGGAGAAAUUCGGACUAAUAUCCCGUAAUAAUAUCCGGAGGCAUCUUUGGAUAUUUAAAGUUUCGACGGUACGGGAUGGGCAUGCGUAACAUUAGCUGGUUGGUAAGGUAACGGCUUGCCAAGGCUAUGAUGUUUAGGGGUCCUGAGAGGGUGGUCCCCCACACUGGUACUGAGACACGGACCAGACUCCUACGGGAGGCAGCAGUGAGGAAUAUUGGUCAAUGGGCGCAAGCCUGAACCAGCCAUCCCGCGUGCAGGAAGACGGCCCUAUGGGUUGUAAACUGCUUUUCCAGGGAGAGAAACUUACGCACGUGUUGCGUGACUGACGGUACCCUGGGAAUAAGCAUCGGCUAACUCCGUG
rnacentral:rRNA from 1 species